CGGGGCGCCGGGGAGCGCGGCACGUCAGGGACGUGACGUUCCGCUCCCCGCGGAGACGCUACGAGCCAACGCCAUGACGCAAGUGCUUCCGGCCGUGCCCAUAUAUGGGAAAGCGGCGGCCCCGUCUUUCCUUCGUUGGCCCGGGGCUGCGGCUCGCGCGUGCGGCUGGGCUGCGUGAAGCUUGAUCCUGUUGGCCAAAGAUAACAGCUGCAACUUUAAAGGAGUCAUUUUGAUUCUGAUUGCAUUGCAUCUUCCAUUUGCUUUAGUCCCUGUUAUGCAGCAGUACUACAGGAGUGCAAGACCCUUGCUUGUUACACCAGAGCGGGAUUAACACUUGACUUCUUGAUAAACUGGUCAUAUUAUGUGAACGUGAUCGGACACGGAAUGUUGUAAAGACCAGCUCUGACUCUUAACCAAAGGCAUCUCCUGGUCCUCUGUUGUUUAUGACACUGCAAUUUGUUGCCUUGGAAAUAAGUGCUGUUUUAUCCCAAACAGAGCCUACAGUUUCACAGCGCGAUCAAGCACAAGGAGCAGAUGGUUUCCCCCAUCUCUUCUGUUGUAUUUCCCAUUAUCCUCAUCCACAGUUGGAUGACAGGGAUGACAGGAAUCUAUGAUUCAGUGCAAAUAUCUGUGGCCCGGCUGUAUCUACCAAUGUCAGCUGGGAAGCCAUGUUUCUGCUGCGAUAUGACAUGCCUCUGGGUCUAG